rnacentral:lncRNA from 1 species
UUAGAUAUUUUUGAGUCAUGCAUAGUAUAAUUGUGAAACUUUUGCUUUGCAUUUUUUUAUUUGUUGACUCUCAUUCUUGUGCAAGUGUGCUUAUUCUUGUCAUUCAAAAAUUGGUUCUUGAUAGUUUCUUUUACUUUGAAAUAUGUCACUUUUAUGCCUUGAACAUAUAUUAAUUUCUUUAUCUUUUCUUUGCAUGCAAA